GACGAACGCUGGCGGCAUGCCUAAUACAUGCAAGUCGAGCGAACAGAUGAAGUGCUUGCACUUCUGACGUUAGCGGCGAACGGGUGAGUAACACGUAAGGAAUCUACCUAUAAGCGGGGGAUAACAUUCGGAAACGGGUGCUAAUACCGCAUAAUACCUUCUUCCGCAUGGAAGAAGAGUGAAAGACGGCUCUGCUGUCACUUAUAGAUGACCUUGCGGUGGAUUAGUUAGUUGGUGGGGUAACGGCCUACCAAGACGAUGAUGCAUAGCCGGCCUGAGAGGGUGAUCGGCCACAUUGGGAAUGAGACACGGCCCAAACUCCUACGGGAAGCAGCAGUAGGGAAUCUUCCGCAAUGGGCGAAAGCCUGACGGAGCAAUGCCGCGUGAGUGAAGAAGGCCUUCGGGUCGUAAAACUCUGUUAUAAGAGAAGAACAAAUUGUAGAGUAACUGCUACAGUCUUGACGGUAUCUUAUCAGAAAGCCACGGCUAACUACGUGCCAGCCGCCGCGGUAA
rnacentral:rRNA from 1 species